CUUGCUGCUUCUUGCUGGUCUCAAACUCCUGACCUCAAGCCAUCUUCCCACCUUGGCCUCUCGGAGUGACAGGAUUACAGGCACCAGGCCAAGAAAGACCUUUGAAAGGGACUCUUAAAGUCUGUUUGGACAACCUUUCCUGGAGCCUGAGGGUAGACAGAAAGGUGACCUCCCCCCACCCCAGCCUAGGAAAGGAGGCUGAACACCAAAAUGAGUUACCGGGAAGGAAUGUGCAAAUAAAAAGAUGAUCUUUGUGUUCUUUUCCAACUCUGACAGUUAAUGAUUUCUCUAGGAACAUGCCAUGAACGCAAUCGUGUUCUCCAAUAUUCAUACGUUAAAGCCCUACUACAUUAGGAUUAGAGUUCUUAUAAGAAGAGACCCAGAGAGUAUACAUGCUCACACUCUCUCCCACCCCCACCCCACCCCUAACGCUGGGCUCUGUCUCCCUCCCUUUGCCAAGGAAGGAGGCAUGGUGGCUGUCUACAAGUCAGAAGAGGACCCAAAGAAGCUGACAUUGUCAAGUCUGAUCUCAGACUUCCAGCCUCCAGAACUAGACAGGAUCUUGCUCUGUCGCCCAGGCUACAGUGCAGCGGCACCUUCAAAGCUCACUGCAACCUCGAACUCCUAGGUGUUCCAGCUGUAGGUAGAUCUUGACUAUCAGAUGAAGAAACUGAACUUAUCAACCAAAUUCAGACCCUUCAGACAAGUCCUGCACUGCUUUGCAUAUGAGGGACCCAAAUGUGUAUGACAGGUAUGCCUUCCACGGUUUGCAGUCUGAAUCAGAAGAAUCAACAUGGGCAAUAGUUAGAAAACAAAAGACGGAAGUGGAGGAGAGAGCAUGUUGACCAAGAAGUCUACAUGGAGAAGCCAGGACUCGAGUUGGGCUGUGGGAGUUGUGCAAUAAUCACAAUCAGGAAGAGAUGUGAAAAUGUUCUGAGGUCGAUAGGAGGUUUUUUUAAUUGCAUUUUUUAAAUGAAGUUUCU